UAUCUAUCUAUCUAUCUAUCUAUCUAUCUAUCUAUCUAAUCUAUCUAUCCAUCUAUCUAUCUAUCUAAUCUAUCCAUCUAUCUAUCUAUCUAAUCUAUCUAAUCUAUCCAUCUAUCUAUCUAUCUAAUCUAUCUAAUCUAUCUAUCUAUCUAUCUAUCUAUCUAUCUAAUCUAUCUAUCCAUCUAUCUAUCUAUCUAAUCUAUCCAUCUAUCUAUCUAUCUAAUCUAUCUAAUCUAUCCAUCUAUCUAUCUAUCUAUCUAUCUAUCUAUCUAAUCUAUCUAAUCUAUCCAUCUAUCUAUCUAUCUAUCUAUCUAAUCUAUCUAAUCUAUCCAUCUAUCUAUCUAUCUAAUCUAUCUAUCUAUCUAAUCUAUCUAUCUAUCUAUCUAUCUAUCUAUCUAUCUAUCUAUCUAGUUUUGAGAGAGUCUCGCUCUGUGGCCCAGGCUGGAGUACAAUGGCUCGAUCCUGGCUCACUGCAACCUCCGGCACGCCA
rnacentral:lncRNA from 1 species